GACAGAGGGUGCAAACGUUGCUCGGAAUUACUGGGCGUAAAGCGCGUGUAGGCGGUCACGCAAGUCAGGUGUGAAAGCCCAGGGCUCAACCCUGGAAGUGCACAUGAUACUACGUGGCUGGAGUACUGAAGAGGAGAGCGGAAUUCCCGGUGUAGAGGUAAAAUUCGUAGAUAUCGGGAGGAACACCAGUGGCGAAGGCGGCUCUCUGGGCAGAUACUGACGCUGAGACGCGAAAGCGUGGGUAGCAAACAGG
rnacentral:rRNA from 1 species